UUAAAUUGAAGAGUUUGAUCAUGGCUCAGAUUGAACGCUGGCGGCAGGCCUAACACAUGCAAGUCGAACGGUAACAGGAAGAAGCUUGCUUCUUUGCUGACGAGUGGCGGACGGGUGAGUAAUGUCUGGGAAACUGCCUGAUGGAGGGGGAUAACUACUGGAAACGGUAGCUAAUACCGCAUAACGUCGCAAGACCAAAGAGGGGGACCUUCGGGCCUCUUGCCAUCGGAUGUGCCCAGAUGGGAUUAGCUUGUUGGUGGGGUAACGGCUCACCAAGGCGACGAUCCCUAGCUGGUCUGAGAGGAUGACCAGCCACACUGGAACUGAGACACGGUCCAGACUCCUACGGGAGGCAGCAGUGGGGAAUAUUGCACAAUGGGCGCAAGCCUGAUGCAGCCAUGCCGCGUGUAUGAAGAAGGCCUUCGGGUUGUAAAGUACUUUCAGCGGGGAGGAAGGGAGUAAAGUUAAUACCUUUACUCAUUGACGUUACCCGCAGAAGAAGCACCGGCUAACUCCGUGCCAGCAGCCG
rnacentral:rRNA from 1 species